rnacentral:rRNA from 1 species
AGAGUUUGAUCCUGGCUCAGAUUGAACGCUGGCGGCAUGCCUAACACAUGCAAGUCGAACGGUAACGAUGGAGAGCUUGCUCUCCAGGCGACGAGUGGCGGACGGGUGAGUAAUGCAUAGGAAUCUGCCCAGUAGCGGGGGAUAGCUCGGAGAAAUCCGAAUUAAUACCGCAUAAGCCCUACGGGGGAAAGCAGGGGAUCUUCGGACCUUGCACUAUUGGAUGAGCCUAUGUCUGAUUAGCUUGUUGGUGGGGUAACGGCCUACCAAGGCAACGAUCAGUAGCUGGUCUGAGAGGACGAUCAGCCACACCGGGACUGAGACACGGCCCGGACUCCUACGGGAGGCAGCAGUGGGGAAUAUUGGACAAUGGGGGCAACCCUGAUCCAGCAAUGCCGCGUGUGUGAAGAAGGCCUGCGGGUUGUAAAGCACUUUCAGUUGGGAAGAAAAGUUGACGGUUAAUACCCGUCAGCCCUGACAUUACUAACAGAAGAAGCACCGGCUAACUCCGUGCCAGCAGCCGGGGUAAUACGGAGGGUGCGAGCGUUAAUCGGAAUUACUGGGCGUAAAGCGCGCGUAGGCGGUUUGAUAAGUCGGAUGUGAAAUCCCCGGGCUUAACCUGGGAAUGGCAUUCGA